rnacentral:rRNA from 1 species
GAAUCUGCGUAAGGCUCCACAAACCUGUUAUAACCUUCCCGGUAUUGGUCGCAGAGAUUAUUAUUGGGGACUUCGUCUUCCAUAGUUCGCUGUGGUACACGGAUAUCCGAUGGUAAUUCUACGGCUAAUACGUGCUCAGUAUCCUUCAUUUCAUCUAGGAUUCGUCUUGGGUGGGGUGAUGGGUGCUGGAGAUUCAUUUUAUUUAGAACCCAUAUCCUUAACUGGAUAUUGCUAACUCUAUAAGUUGAACCUCACCUCCCGCUCAUCGCGUAUUUGCUUCCUUCUUGUAGUUGUAGGUAUCUUGUAUAUCUCCUUCUUCAAGGGUGAACUCUUACUCGGUGUAUCGGAAGGAUUUCAGAUCUAUCAUACUAGUGAACAGGGUAUCCACCUGCUCAGGUUAUAACAGAUACGGGGAAUCAGGGCUCGAUUCCGGAGAGGUAGCCUCAAAAACCGCUUCCACGUCUAAGGAUGGCAGCAGGCGCGAAACGUUUCCAAUAACUAAGUUGUUGAGAACGUUAUGAAGCAUAUGGAACUGGGCUAUUCUAGUCCAGAAAAUCCGCAUGAGGGCAUUCUAGACCACUCACCAAGUAACAAUUAGUGGGAAAGUCUGGUGCCAGCAUCCGCGGUAAUUCCAGCACUGAUAGCAUAUCUUUAAAUUGUUGCAGUUGAAGCGCUCGUAGCCUAACAUCGGUCGAGUUCAACUUAUGGGGAUCAGAGAUCACUGCCACUUAGGAGUAAGCCUUGGACCUUGGGGUUAUGCCGAAUUCCUUGUCACCCAGGGGACUGCUCUUAUUUGACAGCCUUUGUUUUUCAUAGGAUGGAUGAGGCCCAACCAUUGUUCAGUUCCACCUGGUUAUCUUUCACUAGAUAGCCAGAGGGAAAGGGACACUUUACCUUGAGCAAAUGAGAAUGUUCAAAGUAAGUCUUCUUCUGACAUUGGAUUAAUCUUAGCAUGGAAUAAUUUGUCUUUUUGAUAAGUUGGUUCCUUGUCAGAGAGGAGGUUGGUUAAGGGGGAUAGCGUGAGUCAACCAAGCUAUGGGGCGAGGGGUGAAAUCCGUUGACCCUCAUAGAUUGACCAAACGCGAAAGCAGUUGACUAUUCUAUCCCUUUUGGUCAAGAACGAGAGUGGGGGGAUCGAAAAUGAUUAGAUACCGUUGUAGUCCCCACUGUUAAAUAUGUUGACUAUCAGUGAAGUAAGCUCUGACUUACUUCCGACUCUCCUCCUUGGUUACUCUUUAGACUUAAGUGUAACCUUGGGGGGAGUAUAGUCGCAAGUCUGAAACUUAAAGGAAUUGACGGAGGAGCACACAAGGAGUGGAACCUGCGGCUUAAUUUGACUCAACACGCGAAACCUUACGGAGAUCAAGGUGGAUUUGAUGGACUACUCACCGAGUUUUCUUGAUGUCCUCCAGCGGUGGUGCAUGGCCGUUCUUAGUUCGUGGAUUGAUCUGUCUGGCUAAUUCCGAUAACGAACGAGACAUACUUCACUCAUUAAAGGUCUGGACGAGAGACAAAUGAUUCAUAUUCUUCACCUCACUUGCCAUGAUUUUUUGGGGACCCCUGCUUAUCGACAUCUCACGGUGCUUAGGCAGAUCCCUAUUUCUGAGUGGACCACAGGUGUUGUGGGGAUUUGAGUUGUUUGGUUCAGAUUUUUGUGAGUGAGACGAACAGUGAUAAACUGUUGGAAGCAGUAUGCCAUAACAGGUCAGUGAUGCCCCUUGAUAUCUCCGGCCGCACGCGCGUUACAAUACUCUGAUAAGCUAGAUCACUGGAAGAAAUUUUUAGUGAAAUCUAGAAUCCAUCCACUCAUUCUGGGAUUGACCUGUGUUCCACUCACGGUCAUGAACCCGGAAUUUCUAGUAGGCGCCAGUUCACCACACUGCGCCGACUUUGUCCCUGCUCCUUGUACACACCGCCCGUCGCUCCUACCGAUGAGUAGCUUGGUGAAGAUUCUGGAGAGAGAAGUACCACUUUCUGGGGGGCAACUUGGGUUCUUUCAUCCUACCUCGGUAGUUUGUUUUUACUUUCAAGUUCCUUAGAGAGCCCUUUUCUCAAAAGUAUUUGAACCUAGUUAUUUAGAGGAAGGAGAAGUCGUAACAAGGUAGCCGUAGGUGAACCUGAGAAGGAUCA